GGCGGCGGGGCCGUGGGGCCGGCGGGAGCCGAGCGGCGGGGCUCGGCCCGGCACGCCCUACACCGUGCCCAUCGGCCUCCGUUUGACCGACUCAUCUCAGUCCAUUUGAACAGAAAAAAGAUGAACAAAACUUGAUGAGGCAAGGAUCCCUGCAGAGACAAGGCGAUUAUGAAAAAAAGUAAAGUGAAAAAAACAGAAUCAGAAGAGAUUAAAGUAAUUACUUCAACCAAAUUGUCCAAAUCGUAUUUAGGCCUGAUCCUACAACUUCUCACCUGCAGUAGGUCUCUGUGCUUUACACCACUUUGCAGGCAUGCAAAAGGUAGUAGAUUGAGGCAUUCAGAAGAUUUCUUCUCUUAUCAUCAUGGUAAAUGUCUGGAAGUGGUAGUGAGAGAACAGAGAGCACCAGUAUCAUAACUAAACAUCUAUAUGUAUAGGAUAAAACUUGCAGUUAAAUUUUUGCAUUUUAAUCAAUUGUACUUAUUCAUGAAUACUGUUCGUAUAUAAAUAUAUCUAUUUAUAAAACAGCAAACAAA